rnacentral:lncRNA from 1 species
UGAAUUACUUGAGUUUCAUCUUUUAGAAUUGGGCUAACUUACAAAGAGUUUCUCUAUUUUUCUGUGGUUGUUAGAGUAGAAUAUAGUUAAGGUUGUACAACCCAUUAGUUUUUCUUAGUCAUUAAGUUUACUUGCUUGUUAGGUUUUCCUUUUGUAUCAAUGUACAGCUAGCUCAUUAGGUUUUCCUUUUGUAUAAAUGUAUAGUUGCAGC